CCCAGACUCCUACGGGAGGCAGCAGUAGGGAAUUUUCGUCAAUGGGCGCAAGCCUGAACGAGCGAUGCCGCGUGAGUGAAGAAGGCCUUCGGGUCGUAAACCUCUGUCAGGAGGGAAGAAGUGGUUAUAUGCGAAUAGUGUAUGACUUUGACGGUACCUCCAAAGGAAGCACCGGCUAACUCCGUGCCAGCAGCCGCGGUAAUACGGAGGGUGCGAGCGUUAAUCGGAAUCACUGGGCGUAAAGCGCGCGUAGGCGGCUUUUCAAGUCAGGGGUGAAAUCCCACGGCCCAACCGUGGAACUGCCUUUGAAACUGUAGAGCUUGAGUGUCGGAGAGGGUGGCGGAAUUCCAGGUGUAGGAGUGAAAUCCGUAGAUAUCUGGAGGAACACCGGUGGCGAAGGCGGCCACCUGGACGACAACUGACGCUGAGGUGCGAAAGCGUGGGUAGCAAACAGGAUUAGAUACCCCUGUA
rnacentral:rRNA from 1 species